UACGAGGGGGGCAAAUGUUGUUCGGAAUCACUGGGCGUAAAGGGAGCGUAGGCGGGCUUCUAAGUUAGAUGUUUAAUCCCGGGGCCCAACCCCGGACAGGCACCUAAAACUGGAAGUCUUGAAUAGUGGAGAGGACGGCGGAAUUGGGGGUGUAGCGGUGGAAUGCGUAGAGAUCCCCAAGAACACCAGUUGCGAAGGCGGCCGUCUGGACACAUAUUGACGCUGAGGCUCGAAAGCAUGGCGAGCAAACAGG
rnacentral:rRNA from 1 species